rnacentral:rRNA from 1 species
AACGAACGCUGGCGGCAGGCUUAACACAUGCAAGUCGAACGCCCCGCAAGGGGAGUGGCAGACGGGUGAGUAACGCGUGGGAACAUACCCUUUCCUGCGGAAUAGCUCUGGGAAACUGGAAUUAAUACCGCAUACGCCCUACGGGGGAAAGAUUUAUCGGGGAAGGAUUGGCCCGCGUUGGAUUAGGUAGUUGGUGGGGUAAAGGCCUACCAAGGCGACGAUCCAUAGCUGGUCUGAGAGGAUGAUCAGCCACAUUGGGACUGAGACACGGCCCAAACUCCUACGGGAGGCAGCAGUGGGGAAUAUUGGACAAUGGGCGCAAGCCUGAUCCAGCCAUGCCGCGUGAGUGAUGAAGGCCUCAGGGUUGUAAAGCUCUUUCACCGAUGAAGAUAAUGACGGUAGUCGGAGAAGAAGCCCCGGCUAACUUCGUGCCAGCAGCCGCCGUAAUAC